rnacentral:ncRNA from 1 species
AUUAUUUAAAUAAUUAUUUUAAAAAAGUUUGAUUUUAGCUUUUUUGUUUAUGAUAUAUUUUUUUUGCAUGUAAAUUUUUGUGAGGAUAUAGUUUUUAUUUUAAAAAUAAAUUGUUAUUAAUAAAUAAAUUAAUUUUCAGCAUUUAAUUUUAAUAAUUAAAGAAAUUUAGAAUUAUGAUUUAUUUAAAUAUUAGUAAAAAAUGUGCCAGCAACUGCGGUUAUACAUUUUAUAUAAGUAAAUAUUGUUUAUUUAAUAAUCUUAUUAUAAUUAUAAUUUUUAAUUUUUAAUAAAUUAGGUGAAAUUAUUUUUUAAAUUAAAUUAUUUUAAAAAUUUAAAUAAUAUUAUGAAAUCUUUGUAAAAACUAGGAUUAGAUACCCUAUUAUUUAAGAUUUAAAAAUAAAUUAGAGGAUUAAUAGGUAUGUUCUUUAAACUUAAAAAAAUUGGCGGUAUUUAAAUCUAAUUAGGGGAAUUUGUUUAUUAAAUGAUAAUCCGCAAGAAACCUUACUUUAAUAAAAAAUUUAUUUAUUGCCGUUAUCAGAUUAUUUUAUAAGAAAAAUUUAAUUUUCUAUAUUAUUUAUUUAAUUAUAAUUAUUUCAGGUCAUCAUGUAGUUUAUAUUAAAGAUUAAAUGAAUUACAAUAAAUUUUAUUUAAAUGAAUAUUAUAUUGAAAUAUAUAUUUGAAGGUGGACUUAAUAGUAAAAAAAAAUAUUUUAUUUUUUUGAAUUAAGAAUUAAAUAUGUACAUAUCGCCCGUCACUCUCAUUUUAAAAUGAGAUAAGUCGUAACAAAGUAGAUAUACUGGAAAGUGUUUCUAGAAAGCUUU